rnacentral:tRNA from 1 species
CGCUCGUUGGGUGAGCGGCGAUCCCGCGGCUGUGGCCCGCGUCUAUUGGCCGAUGGAUACGCUCCGGCUCACAGACCGGGAGGGACGGC